rnacentral:lncRNA from 1 species
UCCUUUUAGAGAACAAAGUUCCCUGCUUUAAAUUCUGGCAAAUGAGCGAUUUCAGCCUUUGAUUUUAUGACUUUUUCUUUUUCUUUUUUUAUAAUCCUGGGGAGGUACAACAAGGGAUCCCACGGAUCCCUUCCCGGGCCAAAAAAAGGGAGAGGGCAACUCUCAAGGCAAAGUCUUUCAGUGUCCCCGGCAUAAGAAAUCUCCCGGACAAAGUUGCAAGAGGAAUUUAUUUCCAUCUGCAAUCAUCUGGGCUGCUCAGUCUCCCAACUCCGCUGGGUUUGGGUGAGCCCAAACUGGAACAGCUACCCAAGGUUUCCCGGACUGCCCGUGUCCUGCCGCGGGACGGUGGCGUCCUGGCCCGGAUCAGUUCGGUCCCGAUGCAUAUUCCCGCAUGAAACCGUCCCGGAGAGACCCAAAAUGCCCCAGUUGGAAGUACCAGUUAGCACACACCCAGCACUGGGACGAACUCAAUCAGAUGUAUUCGCCGUAGAUGCUCAAAGAGCUGCAGGCUGCAUUUUAUUUUUUUUAAAUAGAUACCUGUAUUUUUAAAAAUAGCCAUUUUGCUAAGGAACCUUCUCAACCUUCCAGGGGGAUUUUUUUAAUAGUGUAUUAAUCCCUAUCCCCCUCUCCAUCAAAAGGAAGAAAAAUACUGGAAAUGCAGCAAACCAAAUCCGGAAAGUAGCAUUACAAGGGGCAUAUGUGGAGCUGGCGCUUUAUUCAACAUGGUGUUUUCUACUGGGAACGCUUCGCGGUGGAUAAGGGGCAUUAAUUCCCAGAAAUCCGUCCCUAAAGUGAAAAAGAAGAGAGAGAGAGAGUCGAAGUCCAAGUUCAAGGCAAAAUAGACAAACCGGUUCCCGGUGAAUGUCUAGACAGACGAGAAUGAACUUCACAGAUAGCGGCUCAGGGACGUGCCGAGCUCCUCGCCCCCGCCAAGGAUGCUUGGACUCUCCAGGCAGGAGAUCGGACCAUGCAACACCUUACCCGCAAGGAAAAUCUACCGGCGGGAAAUUAAGACCACCCGGUUGGAAGGCGCUCCAAAAAAAAUCUGCCUCGUAGGAACAGGGAAGGUGACAUCCAAGUGAAACUGGAACUGCUAAAGCAACCAGGAAAGGACAA